CAUCGCCCUUUAAAGAAAAAAAAAAGAUUUGUAAUGAUAUUGCUAAAUUAAUUAAUGAAUAAAUACUAUAUUAAUAUAAACAAAAGGCAAUAUAUGUAUAAUUCUCUUACAGUGCAUGCGUCUUUGCCCGCUUCUCCUCCAGCGCACAUGGAAUUGCUGUCUAGAACGAAGAAUUCGCUGAGUCUCGUCUUACGAAGGGCCGUUUGACAAGCAUCAUGACUCAACACAGAUCUUCAGAAAUCCACGUACAUAUUUAUUACUUACACGUAACCCGCUACUUUAUGAGCGGCGGUAAGGACAUACAUUGGACUAACAAGUACUCCACCUCCGAGGUAAACAUUACCGUUGGUUAAAAUGGCCACUUGCCAAGGAUAUGCGCCGUAAGCAGCUUGUCCUGGAGGAUGUGGAGUAGAUGGUAUU